UGAGGAAUAUUGGUCAAUGGACGCAAGUCUGAACCAGCCAAGUAGCGUGCAGGAUGACGGCCCUAUGGGUUGUAAACUGCUUUUAUAUGGGGAUAAAGUGGGGAACGUGUUCCCUUUUGCAGGUACCAUAUGAAUAAGGACCGGCUAAUUCCGUGCCAGCAGCCGCGGUAAUACGGAAGGUUCGGGCGUUAUCCGGAUUUAUUGGGUUUAAAGGGAGCGUAUGCCGUUUGGUAAGCGUGUUGUAAAAUGUAGGAUCUUAACUUCUAUAUUGCAGCGCUAACUGUCAGACUUGCGUGCGCACAACGUAGACGGAAUUCAUGGUGUAGCGGUGAAAUGCUUAGAUAUCAUGAAGAACUCCGAUUGCGAAGGCAGCUUACGAGAACGCAACUGACGCUGAAGCUCGAAGGUGCGGGUAUCGAACAGGA
rnacentral:rRNA from 1 species